rnacentral:rRNA from 2 species
GGACUACUGGGGUAUCUAAUCCUGUUUGCUCCCCACGCUUUCGCGCCUCAGCGUCAGUCUCGGUCCAGAGAGCCGCCUUCGCCACCGGUGUUCUUCCCAAUAUCUACGAAUUUCACCUCUACACUGGGAAUUCCACUCUCCUCUCCCGAUCUCUAGCCUUGCCGUCCCAAACGCACCUCCCAGGUUGAGCCCAGGGCUUUCACGCCUGACAAACAAGGCCGCCUACGCGCCCUUUACGCCCAGUAAUUCCGAACAACGCUCGCCCCCUUCGUAUUACCGCGGCUGCUGGCAC